UACAGAGGUCCCAAGCGUUGUUCGGAUUCACUGGGCGUAAAGGGUGCGUAGGUGGUGAGGUAAGUCGGAUGUGAAAUCUCCGAGCUCAACUCGGAAACUGCAUUGGAAACUGCCUUGCUCGAGGGUUGGAGGGGGGACUGGAAUGCUUGGUGUAGCAGUGAAAUGCGUAGAUAUCAAGCGGAACACCAGUGGCGAAGGCGAGUCCCUGGACAACUCCUGACACUGAGGCACGAAAGCUAGGGGAGCAAACAGG
rnacentral:rRNA from 1 species